AUGUUGCAAAACUGAAGUCAGCAAAUCCGGCAGUAAGUCUGAUAGACCUGACAAACAUUCAUCUGCUAAAUUUCUACAUUCCAGACAAUGUUAAAGUCAGAAUGUGGGCUACACGGCACAAUGAAGUCCUAAUAGAGGAAUAGGUACUCACGAUCUUGAGAUUGAAACUGGUUGACAUGUGAAAAUGGGAAGAGAAAAUAGACUGAGUAGAAAAUAUAAUAAGAAUAUUAUAGAAGAUGGGUUCCCUUUUUACUUUGUUGUGAAUUUUACUCCGAAUCAAGAAUGAUGUCAUUACCUGAAAAGUACUACUCUAGUACAACCCAAAACAAAUUUGAUAUCCUGAUGUCAACAAAAAAUGAAACUUUGAUAAGGUCAGUUGCUACUUUCUUAUAUUACGCUUUUGAUAAAUGGAAGUCAAAUGUUUAGUUGCUAAAACCUUAAUACAUUAUUUAUGACUGAUAUACGUCAGUUUCUAUUACUUUGUAUAUGAAUGUGUAUAUGCUUUGUAUUUUGUUGUUUGUAAAUAUCUUUGCAUGGGCCGGUGGCCUUAGAGCAAAAGAAAAAAAAAAGUUCGUUCCUUGUCCAAUUACCACAUCUUUUUAAAAAUUAUUUUACGUUAUGAUAUUACAUGUAAAACGAUUAUAUGUAAAACUAUACCUAUGACAAGUUGUGCCUCUGUUUGUAGUUAUACAAUUUACGAACUUCUUUUCGCUCUUUUGUUUAAUACAUUGUAUUUAUGUAUAUGACAUAAUCUAUUGAUAGCGCUUAUUAUAUUUUAUAUUUCAGGAGCGUAUAAUGACUUUGUUUAUAAUGGAGUCUGCUAUAUUUUAGUUGUGAACAUAUAGAUAUAAAAUAUAUUAAUUUUUUGUUAAAUCUUAUUGUCGAUAAUUGUUUUCCAAUGUAUGUUCUGUUCUGUUUAUUGAGAGCUUGUGUAAUAACUGAAUAACUCAAUGUGUGAAGCAAGA
rnacentral:lncRNA from 1 species